CUCCAGCCCAGCGAAAUACAGAGAAAAGAGGCCUCUGCUAGCAGGGAAGGGUCUGAGUUGUGGGUAUUUAGAUUUUUAAGAUUCUUAGUUAUUCUUAGUCUUAGCCAGGAAUCAUAGAAGUCCAUUCUUAGGAUGGUUUAUUCCCUUAUUACCCGUAACCUUGUAUAUACACCUAUUUCAAAAAAGGUUGCACUCGAGAAUCAGUGUCGUAACCCGCGGUGGCUCAUGGGUAGCAUAUAAACGGCUGAAUCUUGUAUCUGAAAGCCAUGUAAAUGUUCAAAUAUUACUUCUCAAACUCAUUAUUUAUUCAUGCAUGCAUUAACCAAUGAGUGGAGAGGAUAUGGGUCACAUGCAUGGGUCUUGAUACCCAAUGAAAACCCAGAUGAACAUCACUAGUGAUUUGGAUAUGUGAUCCAAACCACUUGUGAAGUUCGUCUGGGUUUUCAUUGGAUAUCAAGAUCCAUGCAUGUGACCCAUAUAGAACAAUAACAUCAAUGACAAUUUUAUUUAUAAUUUUAAUCACACAAUUGGGCAACUAGUUUAAUCAAGGAAACCAAAUCAAGCCUAGGAAACAGCAGCGCUUGGAGAGGUCCCUGGAGGCCAUACCGACGACUCUAAGGCAAUGUUGUGGUUCGUAUUCGAUGUUUAUUUCGUUGUCAAUUACUGAGUUACGCUUCGGAGCUUUGCGUGGCUGAACAAAUAAAUUACACUUCCCUCUACAAACAAAAUAUUCUAUUUGCCGGUUAUUCUUCCAAGGUGAUGACUGUGACUUUGACUAGGGAUAAGCAGAGACUACCAGUAGCAAAAAUAUCCGAGAUAAAGAGGAGAUAAGAGAGAGAUAGAAAAAGCAAUACUCGAACGGAGAAUGACAUUUAUAUACGUCAAGUUGUGUUUACAUAUGCAAUAAAUUAACCUUGCACUAAAAGUCUUAACAAUGAUAUUAUUCUUGCCAGCAUUGAAUGUUCGAUUACCCUUCUAAGAAAGAUACUGAGUACUCGCUUCGAUCCAAAUUUAUGCCUGAUUUGACUUCCAAUAGUGAUCGCUGAACCAUACCUGCUAAACCUGAAGAACGACUCCAAAUUUUAUCUCACUGAUUUUUUAAUCAGGAAACGAUAAUCUUUGAAAAUAUAACGCUAGCUAAUAAGAAAAAACAUUAUUCGUAACAGAAACUUGGAUUUAGCUUUCGGAUGGGCAGUAAAA